rnacentral:rRNA from 1 species
GACGAACGCUGGCGGCGUGCCUAAUACAUGCAAGUAGAACGCUGAAGGAGGAGCUUGCUUCUCUGGAUGAGUUGUGAACGGGUGAGUAACGCGUAGGUAACCUGCCUGGUAGCGGGGGAUAACUAUUGGAAACGAUAGCUAAUACCGCAUAAUAGUAGAUGUUGCAUGACAUUUGCUUAAAGGUGCAAUUGCAUCACUACCAGAUGGACCUGCGUUGUAUUAGCUAGUUGGUGGGGUAACGGCUCACCAAGGCGACGAUACAUAGCCGACCUGAGAGGGUGAUCGGCCACACUGGGACUGAGACACGGCCCAGACUCCUACGGGAGGCAGCAGUAGGGAAUCUUCGGCAAUGGACGGAAGUCUGACCGAGCAACGCCGCGUGAGUGAAGAAGGUUUUCGGAUCGUAAAGCUCUGUUGUAAGAGAAGAACGAGUGUGAGAGUGGAAAGUUCACACUGUGACGGUAUCUUACCAGAAAGGGACGGCUAACUACGUG